AGAGACUUAGGUUAACCUUAAACCAAAAGCCUUCAAAGCUUUAAAUGAGGGUUAAAACCCCUCAGACUCUG
rnacentral:tRNA from 1 species